rnacentral:rRNA from 1 species
AACCUCCGCAAUGUGAGAAAUCGCGACGGGGGGAUCCCAAGUGCCAUUCUUAACGGGAUGGCUUUUCAUUAGUGUAAAGAGCUUUUGGAAUAAGGGCUGGGCAAGACCGGUGCCAGCCGCCGCGGUAACACCGGCAGCUCUAGUGGUAGCAGUUUUUAUUGGGCCUAAAGCGUCCGUAGCCGGUUUAAUAAGUCUCUGGUGAAAUCCUGUAGCUUAACUGUGGGAAUUGCUGGAGAUACUAUUAGACUUGAGACCGGGAGAGGUUAGAGGUACUCCCAGGGUAGAGGUGAAAUUCUGUAAUCCUGGGAGGACCGCCUGUUGCGAAGGCGUCUAACUGGAACGGUUCUGACGGUGAGGGACGAAAGUUAGGGGCGCGAACCGGAUUAGAUACCCGGGUAGCCCUAACUGUAAACGAUGCGGACUUGGUGUUGGGGUGGCUUUGAGCUGCUCCAGUGCCGAAGGGAAGCUGUUAAGUCCGCCGCCUGGGAAGUACGGUCGCAAGACUGAAACUUAAAGGAAUU